rnacentral:rRNA from 1 species
AAAGAGUAAGAAACUUUAGUGUGUGUACCUUUUGUAUCAGGGGAAGUUAAAAGUGCAAGUAAUAAAGGAUCGAUUUAAGCAGAGCUUCGUAUAAAAUAGCUAUAGUUAAAUUUAUAGCUUUAAUAGAUUAUGUGGUGAAAAAUGUACGGUGCUUAUGGUAGCUAUUUGUUUUUUUAUUGAAGGGUAAGCUUUCAUUGACUUAAUUGUGUAAAAGGUAUAGGGAAUUAGGCUUGGUAUUUUGACUGUGCUAAGGUAGCAUAAUCAUUUGCUACUUAAUUGGUAGCUGGAAUGAAAGGUUAAACUAGCUUACUCAGUUUGUUGUGUUUUGUAAGAAAUUAAAGUCGAGGUAAGAAUUCUUUGAUCUGCUAGGGGACGAUAAGACCCUAGAAGCUUAACAAUAAGAGUAUCUAUUAGUUAUAAAAAUUAAUUUGUUUUACUGGGGCGGUAAAGGUAUAUGAACUAUUAGCGUAUCGAUAGAUCCUUAAAAUAAAGAUAAAACGGGAAAGUUACUCUAGGGGUAACAGUGCAAUAUUUUUGGAGAGAUCAUAUCGAUAAAAAUGUUUGCAACCUCGAUGUUGAAUUAAGAUGUCUACGUGAAGCAGCAGGUACGUGAGAGGGUUUGUUCAAC